UACGUAGGGGGCGAGCGUUGUCCGGAUUUAUUGGGCGUAAAGAGCGUGUAGGCGGCCAGGUAGGUCUGCUGUGAAAACUCGAGGCUCAACCUCGAGACGUCGGCGGAAACCAUCUGGCUAGAGUCCGGAAGAGGAGAGUGGAAUUCCUGGUGUAGCGGUGAAAUGCGCAGAUAUCAGGAAGAACACCCGUGGCGGAAGGCGGCUCUCUGGGACGGUACUGACGCUGAGACGCGAAAGCGUGGGGAGCAAACAGG
rnacentral:rRNA from 1 species